rnacentral:rRNA from 1 species
GAUGAACGCUGGCGGCGUGCUUAACACAUGCAAGUCGAACGGAAAGGCCCUGCUUUUGUGGGGUUCUCGAGUGGCGAACGGGUGAGUAACACGUGAGUAACCUGCCCUUGACUUUGGGAUAACUUCAGGAAACUGGGGCUAAUACCGGAUAGGAGCUCCUGCUGCAUGGUGUGGGUUGGAAAGUUUCGGCGGUUGGGGAUGGUCUCGCGGCUUAUCAGCUUGUUGGUGGGGUAGUGGCUUACCAAGGCUUUGACGGGUAGCCGGCCUGAGAGGGUUACCGGCCACAUGGGGACUGAGAGACGGCGCAGACUCCUACGGGAGGCAGCAGGGGGGAAUAUUGCACAAUAGGCGGGAGCCAGAUGCGGCAACGCCGCGUGCGGGAUGACGGCCUACGGGUUGUAAACAGAUUUGGCCUGUGACGAAGAGUGAGUGACGGUAAUGGGUAAAGAAGCACCGGCUAACUACGUG